UAAAAAUCAAUAACAAAAAUAUCCAAAUGGUAUCUUUGACAGUUGGUUUUGUGUCUAGAUGGUCAACAAAUGAUUCUAUGAAGUGAUUUCCCAAGCCCUCGGGUUCUUCAGGAGAUGACUCAGAUGAAGGAGUUUCUUUCCAACCUGGGCUACCCUGUGGUACUUUGAGAUUAUAAUCCAGUCUCUACCCAGACAGAGAGCUCCGGGGCCAUGCCUGUGCUCUCCCCUUGAAGCCUACAUCAUAAAGGCUUUGGCAGUGAAGUAAAGCACCGAGUGAAACAGAGACAUUACUGCUCUCCAGGUGUUCAACGAGGCUUGUGAAUAUUUUCUUAAACAAUUCCAAAAGCCAAAAGCUCAUUUAAUUUGGUUAUCUUGUUUAUAAAUUAUGCCUCUAAAGAACCAAUCUAUUUUAAAUAGACUGAUGUUAAGAAAUAUGCUUACCGCUGUCAGUGUGUGGUGACCUAGAGAUUUGUCCUUCCACAGAAGGAGUAGAGAGUUGGCUUUAGCCUUCUUUGUUAAUUCAGACCAUGUUACAUGUAAAUUAUUUGUUACAGACUUGAUGUGACUGGCCGCUUUCAUCUGUUGGUUCAGUGUAUGGAAUGAGAAUGCAGAGUUCCUUUUUCUUUCUUUAAGGUCUCUGUUAAUAGGGUUAAUUUUACAAAACUUUGUGAAGUGAAUCAUUUACUCUCGACAAGCCAAACACUGUCUUUGGGAGUAUAGUUUUUAAAUUGGAAAUCAUUUCUUUCUGGGGAAUACAACUUAGAAUUAAAUUGUCUCGUUAUGCAGCCUGCCAAUAUAAAAUAUAUUCACUAUAUAAUCUUAGAAUAUAACUAUAACAUUUUAUGUUAAAAAUGGGUAUUGUCAUGUUGUCAAAUACUGGAUAUGGUCUUUUAAGGUAAUAGUUCUAAUUUUUAAAAUUUUACGUUGUCAAUUUUUUUCUAACAAAAGUUUUGUUUUACUUGAGAUACUGUGUUUUUGCACAUCAAGUAGCAGCUGGUGCUGUUAAUAUUUGAAACAAAUAUACAAAGUUCAUCAUACAUGGACGCAAGAAGUACCACCUGCCGCUUUCUGUUCAUGUUUGUCUCUUAGAUGCUGGCUUUAACUGACGUCUUUUACAAACCUGCCAGGUGCUGGUUCCUCGUGCAGGAGACUGAUGUAACAAACAGCUGGUUAGUCACCUUGUCCUUCUACGAAGUCUGGUGCAUGGUCCAGCCAGUUGUACAACUGCAUUUCACCUAUUUUAACUUACGUUAUAUUCACCCAUGUUGAUCUUGAUGUAAACGUUUUCCCCAUGUAACCCUUUCUCUUCAUGAUCCCUACAAAUUUGUACAGUUGUUCCCUCCUGAUCUCUGUUCUGGAUCUUUGCCAACUGUCUAGUUCUGUCAUGGCCUCUUGAAUGGACCCUCUUCUGAGGCGUUCUAACUGCUGCUCCCCUCACCACCCUCUGUCAGCCUUGAAGCGGUUACUCAAAGACUGAUGUCCCCAAGCCCCUAAAAGUAAUUCAGGUGACCUCUAAAAGGACUAAUGGACCAUGGCAACCCGACUCAUCCUUGUUCUUGCCACUCUGGACAUUGUUUUGGGGACUCAGAACUGAAACAGCUGGACUGAAGCCACUUAUGCCUUAAUUCACCUCUCUGUCUCACGGGCUCAGAUCAGCCUAACGGCCUUCAGGACCAGCUGGACGCAGUGCCCGCUGCAGUACUUCAAGGUUAUAGGACCAGAUCUGACUCCUGCUAAGGAUGGGACCUGUGUGUCCCUGAACAACCCUGCUUCCACACCAACAAAUCCUAUCUGGUUUGAGAUGGGGCCUAAAGACACAGGGACCAGGCACAGCCUCCCUCUGGUUCCCUCCCGCUCUGGCUCCUCCCCUGGGUCACUCUUUCCUCCUUAUUAUCCACACACCUGUGUUUUCACCUGUCUGUUAAAUGCUUCACUUUCUGAGCUUCACCCUAGACCCAGACAAAUGUUCCACAUCAGCUCUCUUGAUAGCUCAUUCCCUACAAUACAGCAGCUCCAUUUGCUCCUGAUGCAUCUGCACCAGACCUUUUAGAUGCCGUGGAGAAACUGACUGAAAGGGACCUUCAUCCCUCUCACCCCAGGCCAGAUACAAUCCUUUACGUUCACCCUCUAGUCUCUCCUGUUCCCUUCCUUUGAUGCCCUGUAGCCCCGGCCAUAUCUGCUGACUCAUCUGAUGUAACAGUCCUGGCAAUGGGACCAUCACUGUCACCCUGGAUCCACUCUAAGCCCACUUUUUCCCACCUCUGUUCCUCAACUCCUCAACCUUCCUAGAAAAUCUCUCGGUUUUACUCCAAAACCAAAUUGCCCACUUUCAUCAUUCUAAAAAUUAUUUUCCAAUUCUCUUCAGGAACACAGGACAGCAAUUACUCGAACAUCACAGUGGAUCAAAUUUAAGACUCUACUGCUACGCGACCAGAGGUCCUCAUCUUCGAUGGAGCUAGACAUAGACCCUCCUCUGCAGAGAGGAGCUGUGACAUCCCUGCUCUGCAUUUGUAUAGCCUUUUAGAGUUGGGAUAACAGCUUCCUGAUGAAGGACUACACUUCCCAGCUUCCCUUGCAGAAUUCAUAAGUCAUUCCUGCCCCUCUAAGGGGCCUCGACUCACCUUCCCCUGUGGGCCUUUUGACCUUCUUCACACAGGAGUAACAAAGAUGCCCCUCGAUGUAAUAAAUAUGGCUCUGCCUAAGGUUGCUGUGUCCGAACCUGGCCCGCGCUCGGGGGAAGGUGGAGGGUGUCUUCUUCCUUUUCACACCACAGCGCUAGGAGCAGCCUGCUUCAAACCCCAGAAGAGAGCGCCAUUCCUCAUCACCUUGAUGGCUUCCUUCUGCUGAAGGCAUCAAUGUUUGCUCAGUGGUGUAAGUCUUAAAUAAGCAUCUACGUGACGUGCUGCAGAUGAUGAAAGCUGUCUACAGAAAGAUCAUCUCGCGUGGUCAUGUUUCCAUCAUCAUCUGGGGCCUCCGCAGCUCCUAAAUGAUGACAUUCGUCCUCAUACCACGUAAAAUGACUAGCUCCUCCGGAUCCUCAUUUUCAGAAUGCCAGAUGAUAAUCUCACCCCACCCCUGUCAAAAAGGGAGCAGCAUUUGCCAGCACUGUGACUUCAUAGGGCUUGUUCCACACAACGCCACUGGCCUUCUAGACAAAGGACCUCUGCACUCUUUCUCCUGACCCCCGCCCUGGCACGACUCUGGGGUCUUUGGCCACACAGGCAUGGCUUUCUUGAAUCUCUUUGUCUCCGAAUUAAUGUGGAUGUUAAAGGGGCCUUGCCCACCCCCCACCCCCGUGUGAGAUGACAGUGGCGACUACUCUCCUGCCUCCCAGGAACCUUUGUAAUCAGAGCAGCUGCACUUUGGCUCACGCUGCAUCGCUCUGAAAUUAUUCUCCAGGGAAGUGACACUGGGAUGUCAGAGACAUUCCUCCUGAGAUGGGGGAUCCACGGGUCCAGGGUGUUGCCUGUAUUGUCGGCGUGAGCAAACUUCCCAUUUCCCACAUCUUGUGGCUAAGAUCAUUCUUGAGCCAUUUGGAUGGGACUUUAGAACCCACUAGAAGCAGAGCUCAGAAUGCUGCUGUCUGCAUUCUGUCUUCCCAGGUCAGACAUGUCGUGUGUGUGUGUGUGUGUGUGUGUUUGUAUGGUUUUUGCAAGAGUGCAGCAGUCUGAAGGUGACUUGAAUAUUCUUUCAUAGGAUGGAAACUAAAUUCUCUUACUGAAUUGAGAGUAAAGAUGAAGCAACCUUUGAAGGCUAAACCGCACAUUACCCAGAGUGUUUGCGGGGUGCUAGGCUAGGAGAGAGCUCCCUUGAUAUGCAGACUGAUGUAAAGCGAAUGAGAUAUUUCCUGGUCCUUCCUGCAAGGGUUUCUCACCAGGAAACCCUGCUGAGCAGCGGUGUGACCACAGUGGUACUGAGGAGCACACUGGAUGCAGACAGCUCUGGGCUGGAGCACUUCCUAGAAGAGAUGGUCUUUGGAUACCACCAGAAGCCAGCAGUUGCAGGGUUAGUGGUUAGGCACCGGCAGGCUGCAGAUGGAACUUCCGUCUUUACACCAGGGUUUUGUGUGUCUAUUCGAACUGAAGCCUGGUCAAGAACCCUUUGCUGGGUCAAGGGACAAGGCACUCACUCCCCAGAAGCUCCAGAGGCUCAGAGUGCCACCUCCCUUACAGAAUUAGACCCACAGUCCCAAAGUGGCCCAUAGUGCACAGCUGGCCCCAGCUGGAGAGGUGAUACAAGGAGCACUUGGGGUCUUCAUUUCCCUCAGGCCGGGCUUAGGCUAUACUGAAGAUCACAGCUGUGCUUGACUCUCUCUCUCUCUCUCUCUCUCUCUCUCUCUCUCUCUCUCUCUCUCUCUGCCUUUUUCUCUGAAUAUGAAGUCGGCUACUUCCAGGCAUUCAGCUUCCUGUCUCAGGCUAUGGUGCUGAAAUUCCCUCCCCCACACACACUCACUCCCCUUUCCCCUCAAGUCCUGAGACCCUAGGGGCAGGGAUUUUCUGAACCAUCAAACCUAAUCUCUAGUCUCCCUAGCCCCAACUCUUCAACAGGCCAACACCAGAUCCCCAAGUGUUUGCAAAUCUGACUUCUUCUUCCUCUUUGCUUUCACAACCAGAUCAAUUUUACAGGUUCACUUAUUAUCAUCCACGAGUCUGAGUUACAGAACUCUAGCCCACACCAAAGAUGUCACAAUUUCUUACUCGGGGACUCUGUUUAAAAGUCACACCUAGCCUCUGGGAGGCAAGAUGACAUUUGCAUAGUAGCAGAUCUGGGUUUAGCCUUAAUUGGUGCUUGGCUCCUAUACUGGACAAGAAAGCAAGCCGAGCACUCAGCUAAUGUACUAAACCGAAGGGAACUGCUCCUGAGUCCCUGCUCUUAACCUCUAGCCUAUGUAAGGAUGCCACAGUGACAAUGUGUUUGUCCUUGGCUACUCAAAAUGGGGGUAGUCGAAGUGAUUCUCUGUUGUGUGUCUCUUUGUUGUCUUUUGGGACAGAGUUGCUUUGUAGGCUGGUCUCAAACUCUUGAUCCUGCUGCCCACUCUCCCAAAUGCCGGGACCACAGACAUGUGCCACCAAGGCUCCCCAAUGAUUGCCUCUUGAUGAGCUGGUGGAGAGGGUGGUUGUGAUGAUGGUGACAAGGUUGAGAGGAGACUUGCACAUGCAGGUCUGGGCUGCAGCUGAGUGGUAGGGAAUGUGUCUGCCAUGCACGAGGCCUCGUGUUUAAUCUCUAAGACCCCAAUCCCCGAAGAAUCCAAAUUGAAGCAAAACAAAAUCUUUUCUUAUUUAAUCGGCUGAGGAUGGUAGACCAGAGACUUCCAAAUUCUCCCCCAAAUGCUUUUCCUGAUACAAAGAGCAAAACCAAGCAAAAAUCAUCUGGAGGGGCUGAAGAGGUGGCUCAGUGGUUAAGAGCACUGGCAGUUCUCCCAUAGGACCUGGGUCCGAUUCCCAGCACCCACAUGGCAGCUUAUAACUGCCAAUAACUCUACCUCCAGAGGACCUGAAACCCUUGCAAAAUACCAAUGCACAUAAAGUAAAAAUAAAUAAAUCAUUAAAAAAUCAUCUGGAACCCAGAAUUAGCCCCAGUAGUUCUUGGGGUGAGGUAACUCCAUGGACCUGAGUGUGCCGACCUUGGGUAUGUCCAUGUCAGGAUAAAGAAGGUGGAUCUGCUUCAUACUCUGCCUGGCAUAGAAGGAGUCUAGCUGGUGUCUGGGGGAGGAAGGCCUUAUGUCAUGGGAGAGGACUCUGGAGGUCUGUAGAAGGCAGUAGUGUGUGGCUCCCCCUCCGUAUUAUUUGAGCUCUCUCCCAGGAGCUGUUGGGAAAAGCUUGCAAGAAUUUCCUGGACUCUUGCAAACAGAGGUCUGCUCCACCAAGAGCAGGGUUGGCUGCCACUCCCCGCAGAAUCAGAUCUUUGGCAUCCUAGGCUCCUUUCGUGUCCCCAGGUCCUAUAUUUGACCUCACUGAAAGACAUCUCCAGAAACCAAUGCCCAGGAGAACAGGGGGUUUAGUCUCUCUCAUUUGUUACUGUUUCCACAGUGACUGGAACCGUCCUUAGCACAUACUAGACAGUAAGAAAAAUAUCGUUGGGGAAAAUGAAUCUUGUCAGGAGCCCAGAGGCUUUACUAUGUAUUUGCUCUGUGACUGAACAAAACUGUGGACUUUGUUCCUCUAGCCUGCUACUGCCACCAGCUCUGUCUUACAAAACAGAACAAUGUCAGUUGAGUUCACUGGAGCUUUGAAGUGUAAAAGCUAUGAAAUUGAUUUGAAAAGGACAGUUUUAGGAAGUUCAGCUAAUUUUAGAGUUCACAGGAGAUAGUGUUUCUAGAAAAUACGCUGCAGACACGCUUUCUUAGACACUUCAAACCAUCCUUCCAGUUACUCUUGGGCUGAGAAGUGAAAUGAAACCAGCUGGAAAUGAGUACUACCACACACCAGAAUCUUCGGAUGUGGUUAAAGGAAUAUCCAGUGGGCAGCUUAUAGCCUCAGUGUAACAGACAGGGAACUGAAAAAAAGAUAAACCAAGCAUUCAACUCAAGAGACCAGAGAACACCACCUCCCUGAAAUAUGAACAUAUGCACACGCAUGUGAGCUCUCCUCCCUCACCGCACGCACGCGUGCACAUGCACACACAUAAAGAAGUAAGACAUUUUCUUCCAAACUUUUCCAUAGAUCACGACAGUGGGGUGUGUUUUUAUCAGGGUCUUUUCUGAAUGCUGUCACUAGUACAAUUUCCACUAGCCCAUAACUGCCACUCUGUAGAUGAGAAAU